rnacentral:rRNA from 1 species
UACGGCCAUAUGUUAAAACAUUGGUUCUGAUAUGAUCACUGAAGUUAAGCAACACUGAGCUUGGUUAGUACCAAGAUGGGUGACCACUUGGGAAUGCCAACUGCUGUAAG